rnacentral:lncRNA from 1 species
UAUCUUUCUUUUUUCUUUACAUUAUUUUUUUCAUAUUUUCUUCUGUUCUUUUCCCUUUCUCUUGGGGGAUUUUCUUUUUUACUUGUUUCUUUUCUUUGCACGGCAGGCUAAUUUAUAUUAUAAUCUGUUUCGCGAAUUCAUACAACUCUAUUAUGACCAUUAUUUCUUCUUUUCUACAUUUAUUUCCUUUUCUUUUUCAAUUCAUUUCACUUCUUUUUUAUUUUUUUAUUAUCUUUUUU